AACAAAUAGCGACUGGGGAAAAGGCAGAGCCGCAGCUUCGGCAGAACGGUUACAGUGUCCAAUCAAAGUAAGGGGAACCUUAGGAACAGGGAGAAGGUGGGCCAAGGAAAGGAAGGGAAAUGCCGGUAGCCAAUUAAAAAUUGCUGAAUGCCUCCUCUAAGUCGAUUACCGGUUGUGUUUGCUACAACUGACACCACAGGGACUGCCCCUAGAUCCGCGGUGUACCCUGGGAAUUGUCGUCCGUCUACCCCAGAGAUUCCAUAAGCGGCGCUGUAGAACACCUGCUAGAAAACUACAUAUGCAUUAUUAAUUUUCACGACAUGGCCUAGAGGGAGUGGGACGAGUGACAUGGCAACUGAAUUGGGGCGCGGAGCGUCGACUGAAGAUUUUUUUUCUCCAAAGUUUUGUUAUUUUGAUCGUAAGCAACAGACCCUCACCUCGCCCCCCCAGCCAAUCAUGAUUCUCAUCGAGGAUCUUCUUGACGUCGACGAUCCUUGUGCCCCGCCUACUCCAUACAACUUCAGUUGAGUUCUAAGUUGACGUCACUGAAUCAUCCUCUGAUUGGCUAAAAGCUACAGACUCUUUUACCCAAUGAAGAACUACAACGAUGAUGUCAUCACGCAUGUUGCCACCAGCUGGACUGAAGAGGCGUGGUCUGGAGUAAACUCGUCUAACCCCAUGUUUACUUAAACAAGGCUUGUAGUAUAAAAUAGUGUAUAUGGGUAUAAGUCCUAAAAUGUCUGUUAUGUCGUUUUGGUAGGUAGGAAACUGCAUGCAUUUUCUGUAUUUUUCAUAUAUUUUUUUUAUAAACAAUUGUGUGGCGUUA